CCUACGGGUGGCAGCAGUGGGGAAUAUUGCGCAAUGGGCGAAAGCCUGACGCAGCGACGCCGCGUGAGGGAUGACGGUCUUCGGAUCGUAAACCUCUGUCAGCAGGGAAGUACGGUCACUGUGCUAAUCAGCAUUGAAUUUACGGUACCUGCAAAGGACGCACCGGCUAACUCCGUGCCAGCAGCCGCGGUAAUACGGAGGGUGCGAGCGUUAAUAGGUAUUACUGGGCGUAAAGCGCUCGUAGGUGGUAUGUCAAGUCAAGGGUGAAAUCCCCGCGCUCAACGGGAGAACUGCCUUUGAAACUGGCAGACGUGAGUGUGUGAGAGGAUGGUGGAAUUCCAGGUGUAGGAGUGAAAUGCGUAGAUAUCUGGAGGAACAUCAGGGGCGAAGGCGACUAUCUGGCACAUAACUGACGCUGAGGAGCGAAAGCGUGGGUAGCAAACAGGAUUAGAUACCCUUGUAGUC
rnacentral:rRNA from 1 species